GAUGAACGCUGGCGGCGUGCCUAAUACAUGCAAGUCGAGCGAACAGAUGAGGAGCUUGCUCCUCUGACGUUAGCGGCGGACGGGUGAGUAACACGUGGAUAACCUACCUAUAAGACUGGGAUAACUUCGGGAAACCGGAGCUAAUACCGGAUAAUAUAUUGAACCGCAUGGUUCAAUAGUGAAAGACGGUUUUGCUGUCACUUAUAGAUGGAUCCGCGCCGCAUUAGCUAGUUGGUAAGGUAACGGCUUACCAAGGCAACGAUGCGUAGCCGACCUGAGAGGGUGAUCGGCCACACUGGAUCUGAGACACGGUCCAGACUCCUACGGGAGGAAGCAGUAGGGAAUCUUCCGCAAUGGGCGAAAGCCUGACGGAGCAACGCCGCGUGAGUGAUGAAGGUCUUAGGAUCGUAAAACUAUGUUAUUAGGGAAGAACAAAUGUGUAAGUAACUAUGCACGUCUUGACGGUACCUAAUCAGAAAGCCACGGCUAACUACGUG
rnacentral:rRNA from 1 species